rnacentral:lncRNA from 1 species
AUGAGACCGAGUUCUUUUCUUCUCCUGGAGGGGUGGGGAGCGAGGGUCCUGGCGGGUGAGGCCGAGAAGCCAGGGGCAGGAUAGCGGUCCCGGGCCGAGGUGGAAAUUUCCAAGGACUUGGCGCGGCGCGGAGAGCGCGUCUGGGGGGGUGCCUGGCGGCGCAGCAGCGCAGGAGGCGGGGAGAGGCGGCGAAGGGCGAAGGAGCAUCUCUCAGAAGGGGACGCAGCUGCGAGCCAAAUGUCUGAGAGCCAGCCGCGCCUUUUCUCGGACCCUCGCGUAGGGCUACUGUGAUGCUAUAGAACUGGUAGGAGCGACUCGCUGCCGCCGCUCUCUCGGUUCUUGGAGACCCCCAGCGCCCGCCUUCUGCGGGGAACGACCAUGACUGUAGCUCGUGACUUGUCUGCCGGCCACUUCCCGUAGAAAGAAAUACUGGAAAAAGUUGCAUUAUCAGAAAUCCUUGUGCUGACCUUUGGGGCCGUGGGGGCCGAAGCAGUGUGCGUGCCUGUGCAAGCAAGAAAGCAAAAGGUGUGUGUGCAUGGGGGGCCGGCGGUGGGGGCACCCUCCGCUGCCACUGUGCCUAACGUUAUACUGAGGCUCCGGCCCCCAUCCUUGGGACGCCGGGGCUGCGAUGAACCCCUGCGGGCAGGCCCGGCGACACACAUCCAGAGGGGCCAUGGCCAUACUGGCGUGGAAGUUCCCGCGUACCCGGCUGCCGGUGGGAGCCAGUGCCCUCUGCGUUGUGGUCCUCUGUUGGCUCUACAUCUUCCCAGUCUACCGGCUGCCCAACGAAAAGGAGAUCGUGCAGGGGGUGCUGCAACAGGGCACAGCGUGGAGGAGGAACCAGACAGCAGCCAGAGUCUUC